rnacentral:rRNA from 1 species
GAUGAACGCUAGCGGCAGGCCUAAUACAUGCAAGUCGAGGGGCAGCACGGUAGCAAUACUGGUGGCGACCGGCGCACGGGUGCGUAACACGUAUACAAUCUGCCUUUAACAGGGGGAUAGCCUUUCGAAAGAGAGAUUAAUACCCCAUAACGGUUUGACUGGCAUCAGUUGAAUUUGAAAGCUCCGGCGGUUAAAGAUGAGUAUGCGUUUGAUUAGCUAGUAGGUGAGGUAACGGCUCACCUAGGCGACGAUCAAUAGGGGAUCUGAGAGGAUUAACCCCCACACGGAUACUGAGACACGGAUCCGACUCCUACGGGAGGCAGCAGUAAGGAAUAUUGGACAAUGCCCGCAAGGGUGAUCCAGCCAUGCCGCGUGCAGGAAGAAGGCCCUAUGGGUCGUAAACUGCUUUUACACCGGAGAAAACCUUCCCUCGUGAGGGGAGCUGAUAGUAUGGUGAGAAUAAGCAUCGGCUAACUUCGUGCCAGCAGCCGCGGUAAAG